ACUCAUGCUGUUCAUUCCUCCCCCCCCCCCCCUUCUGUAAUGCUUAUUAAAAUUUGUAUUUGCGCAUCAGGCCAAACUCUCCAAAAAUUGAGUUGAAGUUUUAAUUUAGAAAAUCUCUAAUUUGUCUUGACUAUAAAGAUUAUUUCAAAAAGAAAAAGCUUUAAACAAAUUUUGAAAUAUGUUUGUUGCUAUUGCUAGAUGGCUCUCUGACUUGCCAAGUGCCAACGCUGCAAAAAGGCAGAAUUGAUAAAGUCUGGCAUUGCUGUAAUGCUCUAUUGCUGUGGAAGUUGAGAAGUUGACGACAGAUCUGAAAAACUUAAAGUUAUCAGUUUGUAAAGUAAAUCCAUUCUGAAACAUUGUACUGUUCAGAAUGGAGGUUUUCUAUAUACGUAUUGGUGCCCCAAAUCUAAUAAGGAGUUUGUGAGAUCUGAAUGAUAUGAAUGGCCAUCCAGUCAGUUGUAACUGAUAUUCAUGACGAGAUGAUGAAGAUACCGGAGGAGUUAUGGAAUGCCACAGAAAAAAGGAUAUACUGUCAGUUUUUCACCAUUGCACUCGUCACUUGGAAGGAAUGAAGGGAUGGUGUUGCUACUGAUAUGGGAUGUUGAGUCAAGACUUUGCAGCAAGCCAGCAACACAUCAUCAGACAUGGCUACAAGGAGUUGGAAAUGUACUUGCUCGUUGUGAUCGUCCACAGUUUGAUACCAAGGGCAUGUGAUUACCACGACGAACUUGAAGAUGGAUAACCUGGAACAUGAUGAUGGUGUCUUGGUGGAGUAUUGCUAGGUGCUGACCUUUCAACACCGAUUGAUGGUGAUUUUCAAGUAAGCUCAUUUCCCAUGAAUAUUUUGGAUUCGAUAUAGGAGUAAUGCCGUUCGAGAAGUUACUUCUGUGUGUGUUUAACGGUCGGAAGCAACAGUAGCAGUAGCCUGCACAGCAUCUAUGUCAAUAUGAAUGUCGGGUGGUGGAACCAACUUGUUAGCUGGAUUGAAACCUACUUUCUAUCACUGGAUUUAACUGAGUAAUAGCUGUGGGUGUUGGAUCGAGUCAGCGAGAGGCCGUAAUCUGUAUAUUAGGAUUAUUUCAGUUGGGUUUUAUUCAACACACUAGCAAUCUACCUACGAUCGUAAAAAACUAGGCGUCGGGAGAGAGUCAAUGCAGAUGUUACUUGACGCAGAAGUUCUCCAUUAAAAAACCGUUAUCACUUCUAUUAUAUCAAAGGACUUACGCAUCAAGUGAUGAAAUUUGACUAUACGGUCAAUUGAGUUCGACUACAUCACGAGGGGAAGCAUCUAGCCCAUUGUCGUUCAAGAUUUGCAUCACGGCCCCAAGAAAAACUCGCCGUCUAGAAUCUACUCAUCGGUGAAAAUCCAGGACCAUGAAGGAAAUAUCAACUUAGGCCAAACAGCUGUUGCGCUAUACGUAUUACCCUAACCCAUCAACUAAGAGUGUUACUCCUGGAACAUCAAUGAGUGUUGUUCGUCAAACAAUUCUUCGUAAACAAAGUUAUGUAGCUCGAAAACAAGUCGACAUACCUUGUGUCUACACAGCCGGAUUUCGCGUCAACUGGCGUAUUCAAUUAUUCAUAUCUCCAAAGAUGGAAAAAUCAACACACUAGUUUCGAGUCAUUAUACAUAAAACUAACGAUGGGAAAUUUCCAUGAUUUCUCCAGCAUUCUAGCUGAUCAGGACGAUGUAACACUUCAUGGACAACUACGUAAACUUUUAGUUCUUCAUCUUCUUAGUGAAG